CCCACUCUCUCCUCUUGUUCCACCGCCUCCACCACCUUCCAUCUGCCUUCUUCCACCGCCUCGCACCUUCGGCGCCUCGCGCCUUCGCCACCAUCCUCACACCUCCGCCACCGUCCUCCUGCGCUGCCUCCACCUUUCUCCUGCUCCGCCACGCACCUCCUGCUCCGCCUCCAACGUCUCCGCCGCCUCGCGCCUCCGCGAGCUCCAACGCUGCCUCUGUCGCAACAGCCGCUGCCCUUCGCCUCCUUCCACCGACUGGUACCUCCGGCGCCUCGCGCCUUUGCCACCAUCUUCCUUCGCCGUCUCCACGAUCCUCCUGCUCCGCUUCCAACGCCUCCGCCACCUCGCUCUCGCCCACCACCUCUUGCUCCGCGGGCUCCAACGCCGCCUCUGCCCUCCGCCUCCGGCUCUCGCCCACCACCUCUUGCUAUCGGUCGCUGCAGAGACGAAAUUGAAAGAUUUCAAUUUUUUGUUGUUUUGCCCAAAACGAUUAGGGCUCGCCUCCACCCUUUCAAUUAUUUUUGUUGUUUUAAUUUUAGAAAUUGAAAGAUUUCCAUUUUUUGAUUUCUCUGUGGUGGUGUUUUGGUGUUCCUGCUCAGAAAUUGAAAUUAAGUCCCAGUGUUUUGGUGUUUUGGCAGAAAUUAGGGUUCGGCUCCGUUUUUUUAUUUCCCUUCAUUGUUCUGGUGGCUACGGUGGUGCGGUUCAGAAAUUGUGGUGGUGCGGUGGCGCACAGGCGGUGGCGCGGCAGUGCACAGGCGGUGAUGAGGCAGUGUAUUAGAGCCUGAGACCCUUAAUUAAAGUAACAUUAACUUUUUUAAAUAUACCAUUUAACUCUUAAUUUUAGUCUCCUAAAUACCCGUGCCCAAAAGAAAGGGGAUUUUAUUAACGGGACGGAGGGAGUACUAUUUUCAAAAACGUGUCAUGUUUCGUGGGACAAACCAAAAACGAAACUGUGUCAUGCUUCGUGGGACGGAGAAAUUAUCAGAUUAGCAGAGUAGAAGAGUAGU
rnacentral:lncRNA from 1 species